UGUACGUAUAUAUAUGUGAACAGUUAGUGGAGACACUAAGCAUCUCAGAUAUUUUUUCUCUUCAUCUCAAUAAAGUUAAAGGCUUUUUUUCCUCUUACUUUACUCUCUCUUUCUCUCGAAUGUUCCAAUGAUUCACAGAUAUCCAUUGAUGGUUUUCAUUUGGUUUUGACCCUAACAUGGUAUCAGAUUCGCGUAGAUCGAUCCUUCCAUCAUCCAUGUUCGUCCGAUCUUACCCCUCGGUGACAGAAGUUCAGUCGCGUAACUCCGAUUAACAGGGAAUUUCAAUUAGGGUUUGCUGAACGAGGCCUUUUCUCCUUCAGGUUUGCGAAGGAGAACGGCUGCUUUGCACAUUGCCAGAAACCCUGUCUACCAUGAAAGCACCAAGCAUAUCGAGAUUGACUGCCACUAUGUUCGUGAUUGCUUGCACUCCGGUUUUAUCUCCUUGCAUUUCGUUUCUUCCGCCGGUCAGCUAGCUGAUAUAUUCACAAAGUCACUCCCUAGUCCUGCUUAUCAUAAUAUUCUUGGCAAGCUUGGAGUGUUUACACCCUCCGGCUUGAGGGGGGUAUUGGAGUUAUUACAUAGUAGCACAAGUAAUAUACAUUUUAUACACAUUUUUAUAAGCAUAUAUACGUGUAUAUUGGACCUAUAGAUACACUGGUUUACAUUCCAAGCCCACAUUUACAUCACACAACCCGGCCCACAAUUGUAUGUAUAUAUAUGUGAACAGUUAGUGGGGACACUAAGCAUCUCAGAUAUUUUUUCUCUUCAUCUCAAUAAAGUUGAAGGCUUUUUUUCCUCUCUUA